GAUGAACGCUGACAGAAUGCUUAACACAUGCAAGUCUUUGGCGAAGCUGUGCUUGCACAGCCUAGCCAAGGCGGACGGGUGAGUAACGCGUAAGGAACUUGCCCUGCAGUCAGGGAUAACAGACGGAAACGACUGAUAAGACCUGGUAAAGUCAGGCGGACUCAUGUCCAGCCUGAUGAAAAGAGAUGCUGCAGGAGAGCCUUGCGUCCUAUUAGCUUGUUGGUGGGGUAACGGCCCACCAAGGCGAUGAUAGGUAGCCGGCCUGAGAGGGUGGACGGCCACAAGGGGACUGAGAUACGGCCCUUACUCCUACGGGAGGCAGCAGUGGGGAAUAUUGGACAAUGGGGGCAACCCUGAUCCAGCAAUUCUGUGUGCACGAGAAGGUUUUCGGAUUGUAAAGUGCUUUCAGCAGGGAAAAAAAAAAG
rnacentral:rRNA from 1 species